rnacentral:rRNA from 1 species
CCUACGGGCGGCUGCAGUGGGGAAUAUUGCACAAUGGGGGAAACCCUGAUGCAGCAACGCCGCGUGAAGGAAGACGGUUUUCGGAUUGUCAACUUCUGUUCUUAGGGAAGAAUAAUGACGGUCGCUAAGGAGAAAGCCACGGCUAACUACGUGACAGCAGCCGCGGUAAUACGGAGGUGGCAAGCGUUGUCCGGAAUUACUGGGUGUAAAGGGAGCGCAGGCGGGAAGCCAAGUCAGCUGUGAAAACUACGGGCUUAACUUGUAGACUGCAGUUGAAACUGGUUUUCUUGAGUGAAGUAGAGGUUGGCGGAAUUCCGAGUGUAGCGGUGAAAUGCGUAGAUAUUCGGAGGAACACCGGUUGCGAAGGCAGCUCACGAAUCCGCGAUUGACGCUGAUGCACGAAAGCGUGGGUAUCAAACAGGAUUAGAUACCCGAGUAGUC